rnacentral:rRNA from 1 species
GACGAACGCUGGCGGCGUGCUUAACACAUGCAAGUCGAGCGGAAAGGCCCUUUCGGGGGUACUCGAGCGGCGAACGGGUGAGUAACACGUGAGUAAUCUGCCCUUGGCUUUGGGAUAACUACCGGAAACGGUGGCUAAUACCGGAUACGACCAAUCACUGCAUGGUGUGUUGGUGGAAAGUUUUUUCGGCCAGGGAUGUGCUCGCGGCCUAUCAGCUUGUUGGUGGGGUAAUGGCCUACCAAGGCUUCGACGGGUAGCCGGCCUGAGAGGGUGACCGGCCACACUGGGACUGAGACACGGCCCAGACUCCUACGGGAGGCAGCAGUGGGGAAUAUUGGACAAUGGGCGGAAGCCUGAUCCAGCAACGCCGCGUGAGGGAUGACGGCCU